GGGGAAUUUUGGACAAUGGGGGCAACCCUGAUCCAGCCAUGCCGCGUGAGUGAAGAAGGCCUUCGGGUUGUAAAGCUCUUUCGGACGGAACGAAACGGUUAGCGUGACUAGCGCUGACUAAUGACGGUACCGUAAGAAGAAGCACCGGCUAACUACGUGCCAGCAGCCGCGGUAAUACGUAGGGUGCGAGCGUUAAUCGGAAUUACUGGGCGUAAAGCGUGCGCAGGCGGCUUUGCAAGACAGAUGUGAAAUCCCCGGGCUCAACCUGGGAACUGCAUUUGUGACUGCAUGGCUAGAGUACGGUAGAGGGGGAUGGAAUUCCGCGUGUAGCAGUGAAAUGCGUAGAUAUGCGGAGGAACACCGAUGGCGAAGGCAAUCCCCUGGACCUGUACUGACGCUCAUGCACGAAAGCGUGGGGAGCAAA
rnacentral:rRNA from 1 species